rnacentral:rRNA from 1 species
AACGAACGCUGGCGGCAUGCCUAACACAUGCAAGUCGAACGAGACCUUCGGGUCUAGUGGCGCACGGGUGCGUAACGCGUGGGAACCUGCCCUUAGGUUCGGAAUAACUCCCCGGAAGGGGUGCUAAUACCGGAUAAUGUCUUCGGACCAAAGAUUUAUCGCGUUUGGAUGGGCCCGCGUUGGAUUAGCUAGUUGGUAGGGUAAAAGCCUACCAAGGCGACGAUCCAUAGCUGGUCUGAGAGGAUGAUCAGCCACACUGGGACUGAGACACGGCCCAGACUCCUACGGGAGGCAGCAGUGGGGAAUAUUGGACAAUGGGCGAAAGCCUGAUCCAGCAAUGCCGCGUGAGUGAUGAAGGCCUUAGGGUUGUAAAGCUCUUUUACCCGGGAUGAUAAUGACAGUACCGGGAGAAUAAGCUCCGGCUAACUCCGUG